rnacentral:rRNA from 1 species
GACGAACGCUGGCGGCGUGCCUAAUACAUGCAAGUAGAACGCACAGUUUAUACCGUAGCUUGCUACACCAUAAACUGUGAGUUGCGAACGGGUGAGUAACGCGUAGGUAACCUGCCUGGUAGCGGGGGAUAACUAUUGGAAACGAUAGCUAAUACCGCAUAAUAUUGAUUAUUGCAUGAUAAUUGAUUGAAAGAUGCUAUUGCAUCACUACCAGAUGGACCUGCGUUGUAUUAGCUAGUAGGUGAGGUAACGGCCCACCUAGGCGACGAUACAUAGCCGACCUGAGAGGGUGAUCGGCCACACUGGGACUGAGACACGGCCCAGACUCCUACGGGAGGCAGCAGUAGGGAAUCUUCGGCAAUGGACGAAAGUCUGACCGAGCAACGCCGCGUGAGUGAAGAAGGUUUUCGGAUCGUAAAGCUCUGUUGUAAGAGAAGAACGGGUGUGAGAGUGGAAAGUUCACACUGUGACGGUAGCUUACCAGAAAGGGACGGCUAACUACGUG